CUCAAUAAUUUUGGUCAUGUUGUAAAAUAUAUAGUAUGGAGCCCACAUGUUCUUUGCCUAUAAAAGGGUUCAUCCCUUCCUUUGUAACUACACCUAAAUGAGAAUGAGAAAUGUUCUUUGCCUAUAAAAGGGUUCAUCCCUUCCUUUGUAACUACACCUAAAUGAGAAUGAGAAAUCAGAAUGAAGAACAAAACAUUCUCUUCAUUCCCUCUCCAAUUCCCUCUCCAAUUGCUCUCUAAGAUUUAUAACACGUUAUCAGCACGAUUUCUCUAUCUCUAAAAUUGAGAGACCUAACCCAUCUCACCUUCCUCUGCUCUCUCAGCUGUUUAUGCCGGUGCCUUUGUUUUGCAGUGAGAGUCUUUAGAUUCUCAAGGCUCAGCGAAACACGUUGAGCCUCUCAUCUCACAACAAGCCCAAGUUCUAAUCUUGGGGCUAUAGAGAGCACUGCUUUUGUUCUUGUCUUUGGGGGAAGCCAGGUGUGUACGGCAGCAGUGACUUGCAGCCCACUGGAGCUAGCUCCAUGCGCCACAGCAAUCACACUGAAAACAUCAAAUACCUUUGGUCCCAAGUCAAUAUCCAAUUGAAUCUGAAAAAAAAAAAAAAAAAAAAAAAACCCAGCACCAUUAUUAGCUGGCUUUGGAGCCAAUUGAGCCUCUUCUCUAACAACCCCAGCUUUGACCAGGAACUCCUCCAAAGUCAUCUCUCCCAAGGUCUGUUGCCUCUGAAGCAUAUUAGACCCACCACCAGAUGGAGCCAUAAUCUGAGUCUCUUUAGCCGUCCAUAUGCUCUUCAAGAGCUCGUCCAUGUUCAUGGACCCAAAGUCCUUGCCUGAGCCUCCAAUGGUGUUCUGCAACUCCUCAAACGUCAGCUCACGUCCUUCUCGCCCGUCAUGGGUCGUAUUCACAGUCAUGGAAAGGGCAUGACCGCCUCAGCUUUGCCUUACAACAGAAGUUCUCCUAGCUGGUUAAAGGCCACUGCUCCAGAUGUUGAAGAGAACAUCUGCAAGUUUGCAAAGAAAGCACUGGGACUAGUUCUUGCAGCUCCGUGCUUGCUAGCUCCCACUACAUAUCGGGCUGGAGCUUCAAGAUCAACGUGCUAUGCUUCCUGACCUCUCGCAGUUCACUUCCACAACCCAAGAAAAAGCACAGAGAAUGUUCUCGAAAACGUGCUAUGCUUCCUGAACCUCUCGCAACAACCGCAAGCCACAAAACUCAUUGCCCAAAUCGAAAUCGAGUUUGUUAAAUGUGACUGCUGCGGCCUGUCGGAGGAAUGCACCCCGGCCUACAUUCAACAUGUUCGGGAACGAUAUCAGGGCCAUUGGAUAUGUGGGUUGUGUGCAGAGGCCAUCAAAGAUGAGAUUGUGAGGUCUGAGAGGCUCAUAAGCACAGAAGAAGCCAUGGCUACCCACAUGAACUUCUGCAAGAAGUUUAAGGCGUCAGGGCCCCCUCCAGAGCCCAAGCCAAGCUGGUCAGCACAACCUAUGGCGAACGGCAGAGUUGGGGCUGAGUUGCAGCUGCUGGCCGAAGAUGCACUAUCUGGAAACUCUCCAUCUUCAUCCUCUGUAUCACUUUCUUGGUCAGACUCAAUUUCAGGCCCUAUAUUAUCUAAUCUGAAAUCAAAAGGAAAGUGGAAGGAGAACAUAUGGGGGCGUCGCUCUCGAACCUGACGGAGGGGACGAACGGGUUGGGUCAUGGACCGGGUCUUGGAGACAUACCCGAAGAGCUGCGUGGCCUGCGUGUUCAUGUACCUGACUCCGCCUGAGAGUGCUGCGCCGCGGUGUGCUUGAAGGAGGAAGGGGGGAUGGGUUUUGGGGUGUGGGUGUCUUGAUAAGUUUGGAAAUUUUUGCAAAUGAUUGUGUUCAGCCGGUGUAAAGCAGCCAGUGUUCACUUGCAAGUUUGGGUUCAGAGAUAUGCAAUCGAGACAUUGGUCUAUGCUUGUCAGAGACACCUCCAGCAUCUUCCAAAUGGAGAGAGCCUGACCAUUUCCCAAGUGGCUGCCAUAAGCCACUCAUGACUCUGGGGUCACGGUUGAGCUCUCUGAGUCAGCCCGGGCCGGCGUCCAGGCCAGCAACGACUGGGUCAUGGACAGCAUGAGCAAAACGCACUAAGAAAAGUUGGGCGCAUAAUCGGGUCUUGGGUCCCAAAUUGUGUGCUCUGUUUUCUUUAUAAUACUUUUGGAAGUGGCAUGCUUUUUAGAGUAGGAUAUAGGGUGGGCACUUUCCUAAAAAGCAGCAUUCCAUGUAGCAGCAAUCAUGAAAGCAAAGGAAGACCCAACUGCAAACCCACUGACAGAAAAAAAAAAAAAAAAAAAUUAAAUAAUAAUAAUAAUAAAUAAUAAUUAAAAAAAAAAGAAAACAAAAGAAAAGAGGGGGAUCACUCAGCAAGGGCAUAAGCGAUAAGUUUUCUGCUCCCUUAUCUUCUCUAUUAUUUCCUAUUAUAUUUAUCUGCUUUUCUUUUACUAACCAUUAACAAAAAUGGACCUUCGGUAAUACCAAACAUAUUAUCAGUGGGAGACCGUUACUAAUACUAACAAUUUAAUUUACUGCACAUUUACAUUUAUUUAAAAGGGUGGUGCGGGUUUAUCGUCCACGCCUUUACUUUUAUUUAAAUGUAUGGAGCAGAAUUAGUGCCCAUACAAGCACGUUUAAUUUACUGCAAAUUUACUUUACCGCACAUUUAUUUUAUUUACUGUAUGGUGUAGGAUUAUUACCCAUACAACAGUAUUUAUUUAAAAGGGUGGUGCGGGUUUAUCGUCCACCCCUUUACUUUCAUUUAAAAGUAUGGAGCAGAAUUAGUGCCCAUACACGCACGUUUAAUUUAUGAAUUUAAAUUACCGCACAUUUACAUUUAUUUAAAAGGGUGGUGCGGGUUUAUCGUCCACGCCUUUACUUUUAAAGUGUGGUGCGGGUUUUAUCGUCCAUACCAAUAAUUUAUUUACCAGUAAUUUAUUUUAUGGACUAAAUGUGCUGUAUGAUGAGUUUUUUACAGUAAGCAGAUCAGGACCAGAAAUUCCUUGAUCCUCAUCAUACAAUUACAUCAGGACUGGCAGAUCCUUGAUGAUGAUGUUAAUAUGAGAGCUGGCAGUCUCUCCGGUACUAUAUUUGUAAACAUGUGAUCGGACUUGAGGGUCCUUAAUCCCUGACAUGUAAAUAAGGACCUGAGUUCCUUAAUGAUGUAACAGUACUGUAUUGGUUCAUAAUGCCGUACACAUGGAUGAUAACUGUACUGGCAAGUGUACUAGAACCUGCAGUUCCUUAAACUCAUGGAUGAGCAAUUAAAUGAGAUGCCAGAAGUUCCUCAAAAUAUGGACAAUUAUGUAAGGGCUUGAAGUCCAAAAAUAUGUACAGAAAAUUGUAAAAAUGUCCAUCCCAUGAGAAUAUGUGAUUUUGGCCCGAAGUUCAAAAUCUAAGGGGAUUGAAUGUCCAUACCAUGAGAAUAUGUGAUUUUGGCCUGAAGUUCAAAAUCUAACAGUGUUGAGAACCUGAAGUUCCAACAAUUAAAUGGACAACCCUUGAGGUAUUAUUGCAAAUUGUGGUACGCCACAUAUCUCUUUGGCAUAAGAGAAUGAUGACUUGAGGCUCCCCGCAUAUUUUGUUAUAUCUGGGCCGGAAGCUCAUGAACCCAAAUAUAUGAGAUAUUAGCGUAGCUUUUACUCAAUUCAUAUUUCAUGUCCAUUUUGAAAAGGGCAAAUAAAUUCUGAGUUUGUGUUUAGCCCAGGCCAUAAGUUCCGGGCUCCCAUACGUUGAAAUAUGAAAUUUGGGAGAGUCGAUAUGGUCAUUUGAACCUAUAAGGCACAAGGUUCCAAACCGUCAUUUUGAAAAGACGUAAAAACCACAGGUGCAAAUUUUAAGAAUGUACGCAAUUAUUAUAACAGGAAAGGAGCAAGUUGAAACGCAGUUGCUCCAAUCAAAUUUUGCAAAGGCCAUAUCUAUAGGAGGAAAUAUGGCUACAGUCUUUUCAGAAUCCCAAUAUUUUUUCGGAUCCCCAUAUUUUCUUUCCCAGAUUCCAAAACUUCACGUGGCCUCCAUUAAACGUUUGUCGGCACUUUCAGCGUUUUCAAAGUUUUAUUUUCAUCAAAAGCCGAUCUUGCUUUACGGAUUUCACAGAGCUACUUUUUUUAAAAGUACCCCGAGAAUCUCGCAAUUUUCUUAUGGUUAAUUUGAAAUUCACCGGUUCUACCUAUUCAUUGUAUUUGUGUAUAAAUGUGUUACUAACGAAAUUUUCUUUGCAGAAGACAUCCAGUUUUCUCCAUACCUAGUGAUGCGAUAUUUACUUAUUUUUCUUAUCAGUGAGCACUUAAUAUGCCCGAGAAGCAAGACUAUCCCUGAUCACGUUUCCGCUACAUCAGGAAACUGUGAAGGCGAUCUUAUGCUCUAAUCUCCGGAAGUCCUUCUAGACUAGGAGAUAUGAGAGCUUAUUGUCUGCUCCCACCAGCUUUCUUCCCUGAUUGCUUACCUUCUCUUUUGCAUUUUUUCUAUUUCUGUAACUCUCUGAGGAUUAUUUGUUUUUGACAGAGAAAAGAGUUGUGAUUUUACUAUUGCAGGAUAUAACUAGAUCAUCAAGCGCUACAUUUACUGGGCCGAUACAAGCUUGAAUCAUACUUGAGAAAAGUUUCUCCCACCUAAGGACGUAAGCAAUACUUGUGUUAUUUUAUGCUUAUAUACUUAUUUGAUAUUUUAUCUUGAAAGGUAACCAAAUGGGGAGAUAAGUCUGUUCCAAAAGAAUGACAGAUAUAUGUACCCAUGAAUUAUUAAUGCAAAUUUUACAGAUUGUAAGUUGAAUACAUUGAUAAUAUACUGCACAGAUUAAAGUCCCAUAAGAACAGAAUAUGGGUAUAGCAGUGGUCAAUAUUAUGCACGCCUGUUGCGUAGCAAAUGAUAUGGAUUGAAGUCCCGAAAGGACAAUCCUUUGACAUGUCAAUAUUGAUAUUAUGCACGCCUAAUGCGUAGCAAAUUAUAUGGGUUAAAGUCCCAUAAAUUCAUUGACAUGUAUGUAUUAAUCUGUGCCAAGCCUGCAGCAUGACAGAUAUAUGGGUGCACGCCUGUUGCGUAGCAAAUAAUAUGGAUUGAAGUCCCGAAAGGACAAUCCUUUGACAUGUCAAUAUUGAUAUUAUGCACGCCUAAUGCGUAGCAAAUUAUAUGGGUUAAAGUCCCAUAAUAUGGGUUAAAGUCCCAGAAAUUAAUUGACAUGUAUGAAUUAAUCUGUAGCAUGCCUGCAGCAUGACAGAUAUAUGGGUUCUAAAUGUUCCAACUCCCUAAAUGGAGAUUUUCCACGCCCUAUGUAAAAUAACGCUCCAAUAGGAGGUUAUAAUCCACAUUCUCACAUAAUAAAAAGCCCCAUGAAGUGGCUUGGGUACCCAAAAGCAAAGAAAUGCUUAUAAUUGAUGCAUGCGCAUGCACAUGAGAAUGGUGAGAUUAUGAAUUGAUGAAUGACAAUUUUUAGUUUUGAAGUAGCUACUCAAAUCAUCAAUGGGCUGUGUUGAUUGGAACCACGUUCAAUUAUUAAAUGUCGACAAUAUUAUUGACCAAAAUGGAACGAGGUAAUUCCAUUAUAAAUGAGAAUGAACGUGAAAGAACAAACCCACAAUACGAACCCCAAAAUUUGUUAAUACUGAAUUUAUACUUGGGUGUUCGGAAUAAAAGGGAAUAUACCUACUUUGUAUGACACACUGUUUCUGGCAGAAACAAGGAAUGUUGGGUUUUCUCCAUAUUUACAGAUUCAAUUGUGCCCCCCCCCCCCCCCUUUAUUACACAAUUACGGAGACCAACAUAUUAUCUUUAAGGGUUAUUAAAUGCACAAAGCAUAUCGCCAGAAGCGAUUCCCUAAAGAUGUAUAAAUAGCUGGGUUAAAGCUAUAUAAUGUGUCAUAAAGUUUAAUCCCUUUUUAGACAAAAUCCGUUGAGAGGAUUGACAUUGCAUAAAGCAAGUCCCCAAAGGACAUGUGCUUGAAGCACAAAAUUUGUACUCAAUAUUAAUAUGCAUAAAUUACCUCAGUGAGUACAUUGAUUAUAAUGUGAUUGCAACACAUUAAAGAUUCUGCAGAAUUCACGAAAUAUUUGUCUCGACUUAAGGAUCGAGCAUUGUGCCAACAAGAUUCUUGCUUAUACUAAGAAAGUAUUGAAGCAUUUUUAUGAGGAUUAUCCGUUGGUCCUUAAAUGUUUUUCCGGAAUUAUACUAGACCAGAUAGAGCUCAGCUCCACACUGUACUCUUUUUCCUUCAUCCAGGUUUUUAUCCCAUUGGGUUUUUUCUGGUAAGGUUUUAACGAGGCAGUGUCGCUCAAAGAUUGACUCACAGAAGCAGUGUCAACUACGAUAUUCAGAAAGCUGAUCAACAGUAUGACUUAAAGAUAUUUUGCCAAGCAUCAGGGGGAGCGCACCAUCAAUAAAGAUCUUCAAACACCGUACUCUUUUUCCUUCGUCCGGGUUUUUAUCCCACAGGGUUUUUCCUGGCAAGGUUUUAACGAGGCAGUGUCGCACGCGCGUCAAUAUACAUAGAAUCUUAUGUUACACAUUAUUAUGUACUCUUUUUUCCUUCGACCAGUUUUUGUCCCACUGGGUUUUUACUGGCAAGGUUUUUAACGAGAAAUACUCCGUAUCAUUUGUGGUCUCCAAGGGGGAGUGUUGUAAAAUAUAUAGUAUGGAGCCCACAUGUUCUUUGCCUAUAAAAGGGUUCAUCCCUUCCUUUGUAACUACACCUAAAUGAGAAUGAGAAAUCAGAAUGAAGAACAAAACAUUCUCUUCAUUCCCUCUCCAAUUCCCUCUCCAAUUGCUCUCUAAGAUUUAUAACAGGUCACAAUAUUUUCAUUCAAGUGGAAUAAUUUAGUCAUGUGCAUAGCUCAAGUCGGAUCGUUUUUCAAUUGACCUGCGGACCGAACUGAUCAAAAGCAUGGUUCUCAGAUCGAGUCUGAUCAAUGUUGAAACUCAAAAGUGGGCCGACCCAAAUAGGUCUGGUUCGGUUCUGGCACUUUAGUCGAUUUUGGGCUUUAGCCCAAUAUUAGUUUUUUUGUAAAGCCCAAAAUCAUUUCUUUCCCAAAAAAUUAAGCAUCAAAUGUUAAAACUAGCCCAAAUAAAUGUUUUUUUUCCCCAAAAAACUAAACAUCACAGCAGCUGUUAAAGCUGUUAUAACAUGCCGAAAUAAAUUUUUU
rnacentral:lncRNA from 1 species